GUUGAAACACCGGUUCUCGUACGAUCACUGAAGUUAAGCAACAUCGAACUUGGUCAGUACCUAGAUGGGUGACCGAUUGAGAAUACCAGGUGCUGUAA